rnacentral:rRNA from 1 species
UACGUAGGGUGCAAGCGUUGUCCGGAAUUAUUGGGCGUAAAGAGCUCGUAGGCGGUUUGUCGCGUCUGCUGUGAAAACUCAGGGCUUAACCCUGAGCCUGCAGUGGGUACGGGCGGACUAGAGGUAGGCAGGGGAGAACGGAAUUCCUGGUGUAGCGGUGAAAUGCACAGAUAUCAGGAGGAACACCGGUGGCGAAGGCGGUUCUCUGGGCCUUACCUGACGCUGAGGAGCGAAAGCGUGGGGAGCAAACAGG